rnacentral:rRNA from 1 species
CGAACGGGGAUGCCAUUUUUGAGGCGGUUAGUUUACUAAGCGCCAAGAUGCCGGCAUCUUAGUGGCGGACGGGUGAGUAACGCGUGGGUAACCUGCCUUAUACAGGGGGAUAACACUUAGAAAUAGGUGCUAAUACCGCAUAAGCGCACGGGGCUGCAUGGCCCAGUGUGAAAAACUCCGGUGGUAUAAGAUGGACCCGCGUCUGAUUAGCUUGUUGGCGGGGUAACGGCCCACCAAGGCGACGAUCAGUAGCCGGCCUGAGAGGGUGGACGGCCACAUUGGGACUGAGACACGGCCCAAACUCCUACGGGAGGCAGCAGUGGGGAAUAUUGGACAAUGGGGGGAACCCUGAUCCAGCGACGCCGCGUGAGUGAAGAAGUAUUUCGGUAUGUAAAGCUCUAUCAGCAGGGAAGAAAGAAAUGACGGUACCUGACUAAGAAGCCCCGGCUAACUACGUGCCAGCAGCCGCGGUAAUACGUAGGGGGCAAGCGUUAUCCGGAUUUACUGGGUGUAAAGGGAGCGUAGACGGUUACGCAAGUCUGAAGUGAAAGGCGGGGGCCCAACCCCCGGACUGCUUUGGAAACUGUGAAACUGGAGUGCAGGAGAGGUAAGUGGAAUUCCUAGUGUAGCGGUGAAAUGCGUAGAUAUUAGGAGGAACACCCGUGGCGAAGGGGGGUUACUGGAAUGUAACGGACGUUGGAGGGCUUGAAAAGGGUGGGGGAGCAAACAGGAUUAGAUACCCUGGUAGUCCACGCCGUAAACGAUGAUCACUAGGUGUCGGUGGGUAUGGACCCACCGGUGCCGCAGCAAACGCAUUAAGUGAUCCACCUGGGGAGUACGUUCGCAAGAAUGAAACUCAAAGGAAUUGACGGGGACCCGCACAAACGGUGGAGCAUGUGGUUUAAUUCGAAGCAACGCGAAGAACCUUACCAAGUCUUGACAUCCCGUUGACGAGUGAGUAAUGUCACUUUCCCUUCGGGGCAGCGGAGACAGGUGGUGCAUGGUUGUCGUCAGCUCGUGUCGUGAGAUGUUGGGUUAAGUCCCGCAACGAGCGCAACCCCUAUCCUUAGUAGCCAGCGGAUAAAGCCGGGCACUCUAGGGGGACUGCCGGGGACAACCCGGAGGAAGGUGGGGAUGACGUCAAAUCAUCAUGCCCCUUAUGAUUUGGGCUACACACGUGCUACAAUGGCGUAAACAAAGGGAAGCGAGGCAGCGAUGUGGAGCGAAUCCCAAAAAUAACGUCCCAGUUCGGAUUGUAGCCUGCAACCCGGCUACAUGAAGCUGGAAUCGCUAGUAA